rnacentral:rRNA from 1 species
AGUGAACGCUGGCGGUAGGCCUAACACAUGCCAGUCGGACGGCAGCACAGUAAGAGCUUGCUCUUACGGGUGGCGAGUGGCGGACGGGUGAGGAAUACAUCGGAAUCUACUUUUUCGUGGGGGAUAACGUAGGGAAACUUACGCUAAUACCGCAUACGACCUACGGGUGAAAGCAGGGGAUCUUCGGACCUUGCGCGAUUGAAUGAGCCGAUGUCGGAUUAGCUAGUUGGCGGGGUAAAGGCCCACCAAGGCGACGAUCCGUAGCUGGUCUGAGAGGAUGAUCAGCCACACUGGAACUGAGACACGGUCCAGACUCCUACGGGAGGCAGCAGUGGGGAAUAUUGGACAAUGGGCGCAAGCCUGAUCCAGCUAUACCGCGUGGGUGAAGAAGGCCUUCGGGUUGUAAAGCCCUUUUGUUGGGAAAGAAAAGCAGCAGGUUAAUACCCCGCUGUUCUGACGGUACCCAAAGAAUAAGCACCGGCUAACUUCGUG